AAAAAAAAAAAAAAAAAAAAAAAAAAAAGAAACAGUUCCUUACACGUACAGUAUAGGGUGACAGAAUAUAUCUGGUUUCAGAUUUAUCUCUAAAAUGUGUUUUUUUUUUUCAUUUUUACAAGAUUAGACAUGUGUACAAAGUAUAUUCUGAUAUCUUUUUUUCUCCCCUCGACAGUGAAGGAUCAUUUACAAAACUUAGAUGAUUUUUCUAUUUAUUUUCAAAAUAAUCUUUUUUUUAUUAUUUUUCUGUAACAGGACGAUAACGAUACUGAAGGAACAGCAGACGAAGAACCAGCCUCCAGUCCACCUCUCUCUCUCUCUCUCUCUCAUUCAAUCUUUUACUUUCUCUCCCAUUUCUCUCUUACUCUCUUUCUCUCUCUCUCUCUCUAGCAGCUAGCUCCCAGUGCCAGUCAGCAGUAUUGCUUGAGAGGCGUGGACGAUUGUUCAGAGAGGGGAAGCAAAAAUAAAUGACAGAAACAUGCAAAAAAAAAAAAAAAAUCAUGAAUCACAGCAAAAACUAAAAUUUUGUAGGACAAGCAUAAACGUGAUAAAAAGAACAUACACAAAGUCAGGCUCUUAAAACAUAUGACACCAAAUGAAAAUGAAGGCGAAGUGGGCAAUACGAUUCGGUGUGUGUUUGUGUGUUUUGGACCCUGUUUGAAGGCCUAAGGCUGGGCUUUGGGUGGAGAUAGAGGGGGAAUAGAGAUUGGAACGGUCAAAUCGGGGGCAAUGGACUUUGGUUGUAGAUCUGUGAAGACUUUCUCCAUGAUCUCAGCUAAGAGGGUCUUCAGCUCUGACUGACUGGUGGAGAAAAUCCAAGUAUAUAGCUUAGGUGGGCAAGGUUUCACUUGGUUCGUUAGUGCUCGUUGUUGUGACGACUGUCGUCAGAGUCGUUCAGGACACAUGAAGUCUGGUCAGUCAGUCGUUAAAGAACAUCUGGCAUAAUGGGGGAACGACAGUCGUUAGGUCACAUGUCGUCAGGUGUGGACGACAGUCGUUAGGUCACAUGUCGUCAGGUGUGAACGACAGUCGUUCAGGACUGUCGGAAACUAAGAAGCCUCUUGGAUUAAGAAGUGAAACAACUUUACUUAUCUUUAACCAAGUCCAGUUCCCCCAGAUUGAACUCUUCACAAAGAAAGAUAACCUGGAUGACUGAGAACCUUCACAGACUUAGAGAUUGGAAGGCAAUAACACACACCUUAAAGGGUUAUAAAAGUGUGUAAGUGUGUGCAUGUGUGUGUAAUAAGAUGUCUUAUCACACACAAACACACUUAGAAAAAAAGUGCUUUAGCAGCUCCAGGGGUAAACAAACAUUCAUAACGGGCACUUUAACUUGUUCACUCUACAAACAACCGGUUCGACCUGUGUACCCAUUACACUCCCACGGCUGAGAUACAGCCGGAGAUCCAUUUUGGGCCGACUUGUCACUCAAAAACUUUUUGAACUCUCUGUCUGCAGAAAUGCGAGUUUCAGGCAGCAGCAGCUUGAGGAGCAGGUGGGGCUUUAAGCAGAUAAGAUAAUGAGUAAUCUCAGAAAAACAGCACAUGUAGUCACUCUGUACCUGGUUAAACCACUUUCAAUACUAACAGACUAGCAGCACAUACAAACGUUUCUUUUACCGGGUGGCUAUCAUGUCUGGAUUUUAUAUAUAUAUUUAUAUAUGUACUGAAAUGCUACUAAUAUACUGGCAGACGUCUUUUUUUAUCAUUUAUCAAAUGUCACAUUAACAUAUUGGGACAUCUUGCAGCCAUCUCAGAGUGAGUAAAAAUAAGAUAUAUCCUAGAAUAAAAUCAGACAUAACCAAAAGAUCUCAAAAGAGUAGAAAAUAUUAAACCUAUUGAAUAUCAACAAGACAAUCUUCAGUCUCUGCGGCGACACAGAGAGAGGGCAACGUGGUAAGAAACAUACGAGAAAAUCAACAUGAUAAUCAGAUAUAUAUACUAUAUAUACAGUAUACUAUAUACUGUAUAUAGAUACAAACUCUAUACACAAUAGUGUAGCUAAGUGAGUUAAGAGCUCAGGAACGGAGGGUUGUUUAAACGAUAAAUCACAAAGAAGUCAGGCGUUCCCCGAACGUCAGGGGAAAAUCUGAUUACUCCUGGAGGAGGGGCGGGGGAGGCGGGAUCUAAGCGAGAUUUUGGCGAAUCAUCAUCAUCAUCAUCAUCAUCGUCAUCAUCAUAAGGCCUGGGAGAGUAAAAUGCCGCCCAAAAAACGCUCACAACCCUGAGCACAACAUUCAACAAGUCUGACCCUAAAAAACGGUUAAAACGAGGCACGUAAGCAGCUAAAAGAGGUGAAAAGAAGAAAAAAGGGACGUGUGUUUGUUUUAUCUGUUUUCAGGGCGAAUCAUGCGGCGGAGAGGCGGCGAACGCAGGAAGUGGGGGGUUAGUAAAUACUCUAGGAAGACGUACAAGACUCCCAGUCACAGAGUCUCCUUUGCGGCGGAGCUCAUUCAAAGUGCACUCAUGUCAAAUAUGAUUGCUUGGAAAGGGGGCGAAAUGUGUUCAGACUUGUGGGGUUCAAGAUAAACAUCCAUAAAACAGCAGAAGCAAAAAGAAAAAGAAAACCAAACACAGGACAUUUAGAGGUUGAAAAACGCUG